rnacentral:rRNA from 1 species
CGCCCGUCAAACUAUGAGAGCUGGUAAUAUCUAAAACCGUGUUGCUAACCGUAAGGAAGCGCAUGUCUAGGGUAGGACUGGUGAUUGGAGUUAAGUCGUAACAAGGUACCCCUACGAGAACGUGGGGGUGGAUCACCUCCUUUCUACGGAGUAUAAACAAGUUUUAUACACCAUUUUAUUAGGUGUUAAUAUAUUAAAAUCCAAAUUAAACAUUCAACCCAUCGCAAAGCAAUUUGAUGUAAAUGUUUUUUUGGUCAUGAUUUUAUCCAGUUUUGAGAGAAGUUAUCUCUCCUAUUGUUUUUCUUUAAGUAAAGUUAAAUAAUAGAGAUGGUUCUUUGAAAACUGAAUACAACAAAUCUUUCUAGUUCUAGUAUGGUAAUGUAAAAAAUUACUGUAUUAAUACCAAAAUGCUAAUGGAUAUCAAAAAUAAGUUACUAAGGGCUUAUGGUGGAUGCCUUGGCACUGACAGGCGAUGAAGGACGUGCGAACCUGCGAAAAGUUACGGGAAGUCGGUUAGAGACGCUAAUCCGUAAAUAUCCGAAUGGGGGAACCCAGAAUAUUGAGAAAUAUUCUAUUUAACUUUGAAUUCAUAGAGGUUAAAAGCGACACGUUGCGAAGUGAAACAUCUCAGUAGCAACAGGAAAAGAAAACGAAAGUGAUUCCGUGUGUAGUGGCGAGCGAAAGCGGAAUAGGCCAAACCAGAAGCAAUUCUGGGGUUGUAGGACUACAAUAUAUGGACUUUAGAUUGAUAGGAGAAAUGGUUGGGAAGCCAUGCAAAAUAGGGUGAUAGCCCCGUAUCCGAAAUUAAUUUAAUACCUAAGUAGAAUCCUGAGUACGUCGGAAAAUGUUAUUUUGACGGAAUCUGCCCAAACCAUUGGGUAAGCCUAAAUACUAGUCAGUGACCGAUAGUGAACAA